rnacentral:rRNA from 1 species
UAGGGAAUUUUCGGCAAUGGGGGAAACCCUGACCGAGCAACGCCGCGUGAGUGAAGAAGGUCUUCGGAUUGUAAAGCUCUGUUGUAAGGGAAGAAAUGUACUGUGAGAAACAGUACUUGACGGUACCUUACCAGAAAGCUACGGCUAACUACGUGCCAGCAGCCGCGGUAAUACGUAGGUAGCGAGCGUUAUCCGGAAUUAUUGGGCGUAAAGGGUGCGUAGGCGGCCAUUUAAGUUCAUGGUGAAAGCGUGGGGCUCAACCCCAUAAAGCCAUGGAUACUGGAUGGCUGGAGUACUGGAGAGGGUAGUGGAAUUCCAUGUGUAGCGGUAAAAUGCGUAGAUAUAUGGAGGAACACCGGUGGCGAAGGCGGCUACCUGGACAGAGACUGACGCUGAGGCACGAAAGCGUGGGGAGCAAAUAGG